GGCGGCAGGCCUAACACAUGCAAGUCGAGCGCGAAAGCACUUCGGUGUGAGUAGAGCGGCGGACGGGUGAGUAACGCGUAGGAAUCUACCUAGUAGUGGGGGACAACUCGGAGAAACUCGAGCUAAUACCGCAUAAGCCCUACGGGGGAAAGCGGGGGACCUUCGGGCCUCGUGCUAUUAGAUGAGCCUGCGUUGGAUUAGCUAGUUGGUGGGGUAAAGGCCUACCAAGGCGACGAUCCAUAGCUGGUCUGAGAGGAUGAUCAGCCACACCGGGACUGAGACACGGCCCGGACUCCUACGGGAGGCAGCAGUGGGGAAUAUUGCGCAAUGGGCGAAAGCCUGACGCAGCCAUGCCSCGUGUGUGAAGAAGGCCUUCGGGUUGUAAAGCACUUUCAAUUGGGAGGAAAGGUUCACGGUUAAUAACCGUGAGCUGUGACGUUACCUUUAGAAGAAGCACCGGCUAACUCCGUGCCAGCAGCCGCGGUAAUACSGAGGGUGCGAGCGUUAAUCGGAAUUACUGGGCGUAAAGCGCGCGUAGGUGGUCUGUUAAGUCGGAUGUGAAAGCCCCGGGCUCAACCUGGGAACUGCAUUCGAUACUGGCAGACUAGAGUGCGAGAGAGGGAGGUAGAAUUCCAUGUGUAGCGGUGAAAUGCGU
rnacentral:rRNA from 1 species